GUGGCCAUUUUGUAAAAGGACCACAAACAAGAGCAUUAGCAAAGCAGACAGAUCUGGCGACCUGACCAUUCUCUACGGGAAGAAACAAGACUGGCGAUGAUGUCAUCAACAGACAAAUCAUCCAUUGGCUCCAUUAGCGGCGCGGAUACCUCCUUAAAAAGGAUGUCUCACUUCCAACGAAGCCAAGGAGAGUGGAAGGUAUUCAGGAGGGAGAGGACAACGUCGCCCCGCCGGACAAUUUACUGCCCUUCUCUGGGAAUUCCACAUGAUCCAGGUCCUCCUUCUCCCUGCUGGCAUUUCUCCGGUGAUGCUUCCCACCCACAGCUAGUCAGACAUGACCCAACCUGCAGCAGUGCUGACCUGGUGGGUCUCUGGCUGUGGUGCAGCAUUAGCAAACACUGCCUCUCAUCCAGAACAUCAAACAGGGCAGGGCCUCCAGGAGGAACCAGGGGAGAGACUUGGGAAGCUGCAGUUUUUGGUAACAUCAGGAAUCUUGUUUUCUAAGAGGCUCAAGUGUGGAACAAUAAGGAGAAUGAGUCACUCCAAGGCGUUUUCACUGCAGAGCAAACCGGGCAGAAACUCCCAUUCAUCAAACAGG